rnacentral:rRNA from 1 species
GAACGAACGCUGGCGGCAUGCCUAACACAUGCAAGUCGAACGAGACCUUCGGGUCUAGUGGCGUACGGGUGCGUAACGCGUGGGAACCUGCCCUUAGGUUCGGAAUAACUCCCCGAAAGGGGUGCUAAUACCGGAUAAUGUCUUCGGACCAAAGAUUUAUCGCCUUUGGAUGGGCCCGCGUUGGAUUAGCUAGUUGGUAGGGUAAAAGCCUACCAAGGCGACGAUCCAUAGCUGGUCUGAGAGGAUGAUCAGCCACACUGGGACUGAGACACGGCCCAGACUCCUACGGGAGGCAGCAGUGGGGAAUAUUGGACAAUGGGCGAAAGCCUGAUCCAGCAAUGCCGCGUGAGUGAUGAAGGCCUUAGGGUUGUAAAGCUCUUUUACCCGGGAUGAUAAUGACAGUACCGGGAGAAUAAGCUCCGGCUAACUCCGUG